GCCUGGAUAGCUCACCUGGUGAGAGCCUGGUGCUGAUAACGCCACGGUUGCAGGUUCGAUCUCUGUACGGGACA
rnacentral:tRNA from 1 species